rnacentral:rRNA from 1 species
CACGAAGUUAGCCGUCCCUUCCUCUUCGGGUACUAUCAACCCUGCCGGCUAUUUACCGUCAGGUCUUACUCCCCGAUGACAGGAGUUUACAAUCCGAAGACCUUCAUCCUCCACGCGGCGUUGCGCCAUCAGGGUUUCCCCCAUUGUGAAUUAUUCUCGACUGCUGCCACCCGUAGGUGUCUGGACCGUGUCUCAGUUCCAGUGUGCCUGAUCAUCCUCUCAGACCAGGUACCCCGUGUUGCCUUGGUGAGCCGUUACCUCACCAACAAGCUGAUAGGCCGCGAGCCAAUCCUGCAGCGGCAGCUUGCGCCACCUUUACCCUUGCGGGACCAUGGGGUAUUAAUCCGCCUUUCGGCGGGCUAUUCCCCACUGCAGGGCAUGUAACUCACGUGUUACGCACCCGUGCGCCACUGGAUGAAGCGGUAUUGCUACAACUUCACCCCGUUCGACUUGCAUGUCUUAAACACGCCGCCAGCGUUCGUUCUGAGCCAGGAUCAAACUCUCUA